rnacentral:rRNA from 1 species
GACGAACGCUGGCGGCGUGCUUAACACAUGCAAGUCGAACGAUGAAGCCGGAGCUUGCUCCGGUGGAUUAGUGGCGAACGGGUGAGUAACACGUGAGCAAUCUGCCCUUGACUCUGGGAUAACUGCGGGAAACUGUAGCUAAUACCGGAUACGACGCCUUGGGGCAUCCCAGGGUGUGGAAAGAAUUUCAGUCAAGGAUGAGCUCGCGGCCUAUCAGCUAGUUGGUGAGGUAAUGGCUCACCAAGGCGACGACGGGUAGCCGGCCUGAGAGGGUGACCGGCCACACUGGAACUGAGACACGGUCCAGACUCCUACGGGAGGCAGCAGUGGGGAAUAUUGCACAAUGGGCGAAAGCCUGAUGCAGCAACGCCGCGUGAGGGAUGAAGGCCUUCGGGUUGUAAACCUCUUUUAGCUGGGAAGAAGCGAAAGUGACGGUACCUGCAGAAAAAGCACCGGCUAACUACGUGCCAGCCGCCGCAGUAA